GCAGUCGCCGCGGUAAUACGAAGGGUGCAAGCGUUACUCGGAAUUACUGGGCGUAAAGCGUGCGUAGGUGGUGGUUUAAGUCCGUUGUGAAAGCCCUGGGCUCAACCUGGGAAUUGCAGUGGAUACUGGAUCACUAGAGUGUGGUAGAGGAUAGUGGAAUUUCCGGUGUAGCAGUGAAAUGCGUAGAUAUCGGAAGGAACACCUGUGGCGAAAGCGGCUCACUGGACCAUUUCUGACGCUGAUGCACGAAAGCUAGGGGAGCAAACAGGAUUAGAUACCCCCGUAGUCCCUGUCUCUUAUAC
rnacentral:rRNA from 1 species